GCAGGCGUACUACCGAUUUGAGACUCCCCAGGAUGAAGAGGCUGGUUGUCGGACCUUCGAAGAGGUGACCACACGAAGGUUUCGAGAUGGCCUCUGUAGCCUCAGGCAGUCCGCCAUCCAGCACACUGACUCCCAAUCACUAUCGGACUGGAGGUCCUUCAUGGAUCACUGGAUAUGGACGGACAUAUGGCAGGCCCUCUGCGAUCAGUGGAGCAGUGAAGAGUACUCUGAUACAUGACAGAGGAUCCGACAGAAUCAGACUACCUAGUAGGAUCUGAUCAGGCACAUGGGUGGC
rnacentral:lncRNA from 1 species